UAUAUAUGAUGGUUUCAAAGCUUUUCCUUUUUGGAUUUCUUGGCUUUUUAAUUUGCACCAUUAACAUUGUUGGUGGUAGAAAGCUUUCUGAAGAAGAAAAAACACUUAUUCAUGGAGGAUCGCAUUAAAGGAGGAGUAACAAGUGAAAAUAAGUGGGAGCAUAUCUCCUUUCAAUUAAGACAUGCAUGUGUUUGAGUAGGGUGUUGCAUUUUUAAUUAAGAUGCAUAUGUGUUUUCUAUCUCCAAUUUCCAUAUAUAUAUAUAAUCACAUGACAUAAUAAAGCC